rnacentral:tRNA from 2 species
AGGGGCGUAGCUCAGUCUGGUUAGAGCAUCGGUCUCCAAAACCGAGGGCCGAGGGUUCGAAUCCUUCCGCCCCUGCCA